rnacentral:ribozyme from 1 species
AAAGAAGAGAAAAAAAGAGGGGGUAGGAGAGGGUCGCCUCGCUGCAUUCUUUUUUUUUUUUUUUUUUUUUUUUUUUUUUUUUUGUUUGUUUGUUUGUUGUGUGAGUGUGAUGUUUGUGUGAUUUUUUAAAAA